rnacentral:rRNA from 1 species
AGCAGCCGCGGUAAUUCCAGCUCCAAUAGCGUAUAUUAAAGUUGUUGCAGUUAAAAAGCUCGUAGUUGAAUUUCGGGACUAAUAUGUCGGUCGUGCCUCGGUACGUACUGGUUUAUUGGUUUCUCCUUUCUGAAGAACCAUGAUGUCAUUUAUUUGGUGUCGUGGGGAAUCAGGACUGUUACUUUGAAAAAAUUAGAGUGUUUAAAGCAGGCUCACGCUUGAAUACAUUAGCAUGGAAUAAUGAAAUAGGACGUUUGAUUCUAUUUUGUUGGUUUCUAGGAUCGACGUAAUGAUUAAUAGGGAUAGUUGGGGCAUUAGUAUUCAAUUGUCAGAGGUGAAAUUCUUGGAUUUAUUGAAGACUAACUACUGCGAAAGCAUUUGCCAAGGAUGUCUUCAUUAAUCAAGAACGAAAGUUAGGGGAUCGAAGACGAUCAG